rnacentral:rRNA from 1 species
AUUGAACGCUGGCGGCAGGCUUAACACAUGCAAGUCGAGCGGAGAGAGGUAGCUUGCUACUGAUCUUAGCGGCGGACGGGUGAGUAAUGCUUAGGAAUCUGCCUAUUAGUGGGGGACAACAUUUCGAAAGGAAUGCUAAUACCGCAUACGUCCUACGGGAGAAAGCAGGGGAUCUUCGGACCUUGCGCUAAUAGAUGAGCCUAAGUCGGAUUAGCUAGUUGGUGGGGUAAAGGCCUACCAAGGCGACGAUCUGUAGCGGGUCUGAGAGGAUGAUCCGCCACACUGGGACUGAGACACGGCCCAGACUCCUACGGGAGGCAGCAGUGGGGAAUAUUGGACAAUGGGCGCAAGCCUGAUCCAGCCAUGCCGCGUGUGUGAAGAAGGCCCUAUGGUUGUAAAGCACUUUAAGCGAGGAGGAGGCUACUUUAGAUAAUACCUAGAGAUAGUGGACGUUACUCGCAGAAUAAGCACCGGCUAACUCUGUGCCAGCCGCCACAGUAA